rnacentral:misc_RNA from 1 species
UCUAGGAUUACUUCUACACCAUGGCUAGAAAGAUUGUCGUGAUGGCCUAGAGGGCUAGUGAGCUUUGCAGUAGUAGCCUCUUGUUGCGGAAGAGUUUAUGUUGCAAGUGUUGGAGUUUCUGGAGGUUGACACUUUAAGAGGUUGUUGAGCUGGGAUAGGUGAUGUUUUUGCUCUGUGUUGUUGGUGGAGUACUAGCUUCAAUCCUUGUUCAGCAACUCUAGCAUCAAACCUAAUGACAGGCGGUGGCGUACUUCCCUGGCGAGGAAUCGUUACGCUUUCCUAGGCUUCCCAGGGGUAGGGUUGAGUUGAUUUUUUGGGUUUCGUUUGGUUGGAUUUUUGAGUUGGUUUAGUUUGGUUUGAUUCUGGUUGUUUUGUUGGGCUUGUCAUAUAGUGUGGA